rnacentral:rRNA from 1 species
GACGAACGCUGGCGGCGUGCUUAACACAUGCAAGUCGAGCGGGAAACUUCGGUUUCCAGCGGCGGACGGGUGAGUAACACGUGGGCAACCUGCCUCACAAUGAGGGAUAGCCUUCCGAAAGGAAGAUUAAUACCUCAUAACACAAGAGAAACACAUGUUUCUCUUGCCAAAGAAUUUCGUUGUGAGAUGGGCCCGCGGCGCAUUAGCUUGUUGGUGAGGUAAAGGCUCACCAAGGCUGCGAUGCGUAGCCGACCUGAGAGGGUGAUCGGCCACAUUGGAACUGAGACACGGUCCAGACUCCUAAGGGAGGCAGCAGUGGGGAAUAUUGCACAAUGGAGUAAUCUCGUAUGCAGCAACGCCGCGUGAGGGAUGAAGGUCUUGGAAUUGUAAAGCUCUGUCUGCUGGGACGAUAAUUACGGUACCAGAGGAGGAAGCCACGGCUAACUACGUGCCAGCCGCCGCCGUAA